GAUGAACGCUGGCGGCGUGCCUAAUACAUGCAAGUCGAGCGAACGGACGAGAAGCUUGCUUCUCUGAUGUUAGCGGCGGACGGGUGAGUAACACGUGGAUAACCUACCUAUAAGACUGGGAUAACUUCGGGAAACCGGAGCUAAUACCGGAUGAUAUUUUGAACCGCAUGGUUCAAAAGUGAAAGACGGUCUUGCUGUCACUUAUAGAUGGAUCCGCGCUGCAUUAGCUAGUUGGUAAGGUAACGGCUUACCAGGGCAACGAUGCAUAGCCGACCUGAGAGGGUGAUCGGCCACACUGGAACUGAGACACGGUCCAGACUCCUACGGGAGGCAGCAGUAGGGAAUCUUCCGCAAUGGGCGAAAGCCUGACGGAGCAACGCCGCGUGAGUGAUGAAGGUCUUCGGAUCGUAAAACUCUGUUAUUAGGGAAGAACAUAUGUGUAAGUAACUGUGCACAUCUUGACGGUACCUAAACAGAAAGCCACGGCUAACUACGUG
rnacentral:rRNA from 1 species